UGACUUUGACAGAGAAACUGCGAAUGGCUCAUUACAACAGUCAUAAUUUCUUUGAUCGUUCCUUACUACAUGGAUAACCGGUGGUAAUUCUAGAGCUAAUACAUGCAAAAAGCUCCGACUUCAGGAAGGGGUGUAUUUAUUAGAUAAAAAACCAAUGCAGGCAACUGCUUUCCUUGGUGAAUCAUGGAUAACUGCUCGAAUUGUAUGGCUUUACGCCGACAUGGUUCAUUCAAAUCUCUGACCUAUCAACUUUCGAUGGUAGGAUAGUGGCCUACCAUGGUGACAACGGGGUAACGGGGAAU
rnacentral:rRNA from 1 species